rnacentral:rRNA from 1 species
UACGUAGGGGGGCAAGCGUUGUCCGGAUUUAUUGGGCGUAAAGAGCGUGUAGGCGGCCAUACAGGUCAGCUGUGAAAAACUCGAGGCUCAACCCUCGAGACGUCGGUUGAAACCGUAUGGCUAGAGUCCGGAAGAGGAGAGUGGAAUUCCCGGUGUAGCGGUGAAAUGCGCAGAUAUCGGGAAGAACACCUAUGGCGAAGGCAGCUCUCUGGGACGGUACUGACGCUGAGACGCGAAAGCGUGGGAGCGAACAGG